UACGGGGGGGGCAAGCGUUGUUCGGAAUUACUGGGCGUAAAGGGUUCGUAGGUGGCCAACUAAGUCAGACGUGAAAUCCCUCAGCUUAACUGGGGAACUGCGUCUGAGACUGGAUGGCUUGAGUGCAGGAGAGGAACGCGGAAUUCCAGGUGUAGUGGUGAAAUGCGUAGAUAUCUGGAGGAACACCGGUGGCGAAGGCGGCGUUCUGGACUGCUACUGACACUGAGGAACGAAAGCCAGGGGAGCAAACGGG
rnacentral:rRNA from 1 species